GUCUCUUUGUGUGCUAUAAAUAAAGAGUCGGGCCUGCUCGGUGAAUAAUUGUUUUAACAGCUGCGGUAUUUUAACUGUACUAAGGUAGCAUAAUAAUUUGCCUUAUAAUUUGAGGCUAGAAUGAAUGGUUUGACGAAGGUUAAUCUGUCUCUAUUCUAUUUUUUAGAAAUUAAUUUUUAAAGUGAAAAAGCUUAUAUUUUUUAAAGGGACGAGAAGACCCUAUUGAGCUUAUAAUUUUAUUACUAUUAUUAUUGUAUGUGUGUAGUAGUAUAUAAAUUUUAAUUGGGGUGAUUAGGGAAUAAAAUAAUAAAUAUAGUAACUUCCUUAGAAUUAAUAUUGUUGGGUAAAGUAACCAAUAUUAUUGCUUAUAUUAUAGUUACCAUAGGGAUAACAGCGUAAUUUAUUUAGAGAGUUCUUAUUAAAAAAUGAGAUUGCGACCUCGAUGUUGGAUUAAAGUAACCUUAAGGUGCAGAAGCUUUAAUAGGUAAAUCUGUUCGAUUUUUAAAACUUUACA
rnacentral:rRNA from 2 species